rnacentral:rRNA from 1 species
UACGGAGGGUGCAAGCGUUACUCGGAAUUACUGGGCGUAAAGCGUGCGCAGGCGGUUUGGUAAGUCCGUUGUGAAAGCCCCGAGCUCAACUUGGGAAUUGCAGUGGAUACUGGCAGGCUGGAGUACGGUAGAGGAAGGUGGAAUUCCCGGUGUAGCAGUGAAAUGCGUAGAUAUCAGGAGGAAUACCGAUGGCGAAGGCAGCCCCCUGGGUCGAUACUGACGCUCAGGCACGAAAGCGUGGGGAGCAAACAGG